rnacentral:tRNA from 1 species
GAGUCUGAAGUAAAUAUCUACACUUAGUUUCGACCUAAAUAUUGACUUAAAUUAGUCCAGACUUU